UUUUCUUUAGGUUUUCUGGUUUUUUUUUUGGGUACUUUGUCUCUGUUUGGUUGCAGAGAAAAGUGAAACAGAAAAUUAGUGUCUUGAUAUGGUUUUCUUGCUGUUUUCGUUUGAAAGUUUAGGUUUUUAGUGCUUUGCUUAUUAUAUCUAAUGUUUCUUGUUUGGUUUCAGAGAAGGUGAAAGAAAAUUAGUCUUGUUUGUAUUAUGGUUUUUAUUGUUCUUUUGGUUUGGAAUAGAAGGUACAUCAAGUGCUUGCUUAUACCUUAUCUUAUAUUUGUUGUUUGGUUGCCAAGAAAGUGAUAAAAAUUUAGUCGUUUAUUAUUUGUUGUUUGGUUUUUUAGUUUGGAAAAAAAGCUUUAUUUAUUGUUUGGUUGCGUUGAAAAUGGAGGAAAUCAAAGCAAACUGAAAUUUUGAGGCGCUCUCUCUACAAAAAGAAGAGAAAUUUAAUAAGA